AUCCAAAGGGGAAAUUCAUUCGCGUUUCGGCUGCAGGCGGUUAGCGGGUGCGUGACGAAAGGCGUUCGCGUCGUUCGCGCCACUCGUUUUCCGACGUGCAUCGAACGUGUGCACUUUUCCCCUAGUAGGACGUCGCGAUCCGUUGGGCGUCGGUCUAAGGCUCGAGGUGGAGCCCGCGCGGUCGCUUCGGCGUGUCGCGCGGACCCUCGAUGUUCUGGCCGACUUGCUCGACGGUAUAACGAAGGCGCGAGGCCGCUACUCAGUUAGCGUUCGGCUCGCGGCAAGCGCGUUCGGUGUUUGACGGCGAUCGGACCUGGUGCCGAUUCUGUCCCCGGACGACUGUUGGCCGCGAUGUUCUCGAACAGACCUCGAUCUUGAAACGCCGAUCUGCGACGCUAUAGCUUUGGGUACUUUCAGGACCCGUCUUGAAACACGGACCAAGGAGUCUAGCAUGUGCGCGAGUCAUUGGGACACGACUAAACCUAAAGGCGUAAUGAAAGUAAAGGUCCGCCUUGCGCGGACCGAGGGAGGAUGGGCGGUUUGCCCUCAAAGUGGCCGCUCCGCACUCCCGGGGCGUCUCGUUCUCAUCGCGAGAAGAGGCGCACCAAGAGCGUACACGCUGGGACCCGAAAGAUGGUGAACUAUGCCUGGUCAGGACGAAGUCAGGGGAAACCCUGAUGGAGGUCCGUAGCGAUUGUGACGUGCAAAUCGAUCGUCGGAUUKAGUU
rnacentral:rRNA from 1 species